GGAGAGGUGGCCGAGUUGGCUGAAGGCAGCUGCCUGCUAAGCAGUUGUAGGGCUAAUAACUCUACCCCGGGUUCGAAUCCCGGCCUCUCCG
rnacentral:tRNA from 1 species